rnacentral:rRNA from 1 species
UACGUAGGGUGCAAGCGUUGUCCGGAAUUAUUGGGCGUAAAGAGCUCGUAGGCGGUCUGUCGCGUCUGCUGUGAAAACUCAGGGCUUAACCCUGAGCUUGCAGUGGGUACGGGCAGACUAGAGUGCGGGUAGGGGAGACUGGAAUUCCUGGUGUAGCGGUGAAAUGCGCAGAUAUCAGGAGGAACACCGGUGGCGAAGGCGGGUCUCUGGG